GGAGGGUGCGAGCGUUGUCCGGAAUCACUGGGCGUAAAGGGCGCGUAGGCGGCGCGGCAAGUCCAUGGUGAAAGCUCGUGGCUCAACUGCGAGUCGGCCAAGGAUACUGCUGCGCUCGAGCACUGUAGAGGCAGGUGGAAUUCCGGGUGUAGCGGUGGAAUGCGUAGAGAUCCGGAAGAACACCGGUGGCGAAGGCGGCCUGCUGGGCAGUAGCUGACGCUGAGGCGCGACAGCGUGGGGAGCAAGCAGGAUUAGAUACCCUGGUAGUCCACGCCGUAAACGAUGGGCACUAGGUGCUUGGGGGAGGCGACCCUCUGAGUGCCGGCGCUAACGCAUUAAGUGCCCGCCCUGGGGAGGUACGCCGCAAGGCUG
rnacentral:rRNA from 1 species